CUGCUUUGGCAGCAGAUAUACUAAAACUGGAACCACACAGAGAAAAUUAGCAUGACCCCUGUGCAAGGAUGACAGGCACAUUUGUGAAGCGCUCCACAUUAAA
ensembl:snRNA U6 U6 spliceosomal RNA